AGUGAACGCUGGCGGUAGGCCUAACACAUGCAAGUCGAACGGCAGCACAGUAAGAGCUUGCUCUUACGGGUGGCGAGUGGCGGACGGGUGAGGAAUACAUCGGAAUCUACUUUUUCGUGGGGGAUAACGUAGGGAAACUUACGCUAAUACCGCAUACGACCUACGGGUGAAAGCAGGGGGUCUUCGGACCUUGUGCGAUUGAAUGAGCCGAUGUCGGAUUAGCUAGUUGGCGGGGUAAAGGCCCACCAAGGCGACGAUCCGUAGCUGGUCUGAGAGGAUGAUCAGCCACACUGGAACUGAGACACGGUCCAGACUCCUACGGGAGGCAGCAGUGGGGAAUAUUGGACAAUGGGCGCAAGCCUGAUCCAGCCAUACCGCGUGGGUGAAGAAGGCCUUCGGGUUGUAAAGCCCUUUUGUUGGGAAAGAAAAGCAGCAGGUUAAUACCCCGCUGUUCUGACGGUACCCAAAGAAUAAGCACCGGCUAACUUCGUG
rnacentral:rRNA from 1 species